GGGGCGCAGCAGGCGAGAAAACUUUGCAAUGUGCGAAAGCACGACAAGGUUAAUCCGAGUGGUUUCUGCUAAAGGAACCUUUUGUCAGUCCUAGAAACACUGAUGAAUAAGGGGUGGGCAAGUUCUGGUGUCAGCCGCCGCGGUAAAACCAGCACCUCAAGUGGUCAGGAUGAUUAUUGGGCCUAAAGCAUCCGUAGCCGGCUCUGUGAGUUUUCGGUUAAAUCUGUACGCUCAACGUACAGGCUGCCGGGAAUACUGCAGAGCUAGGGAGUGGGAGAGGUAGACGGUACUCGGUAGGAAGGGGUAAAAUCCUUUGAUCUAUUGAUGACCACCUGUGGCGAAGGCGGUCUACCAGAACACGUCCGACGGUGAGGGAUGAAAGCUGGGGGAGCAAACCGGAUUAGAUACCCGGGUAGUCCCAGCUGUAAACUAUGCAAACUCAGUGAUGCAUUGGCUUGUGGCCAAUGCAGUGCUGCAGGGAAGCCGUUAAGUUUGCCGCCUGGGAAGUACGUACGCAAGUAUGAAACUUAAAGGAAUUGGCGGGGGAGCACCACAAGGGGUGAAGCCUGCGGUUCAAUUGGAGUCAACGCCAGAAAUCUUACCCGGAGAGACAGCAGAAUGAAGGUCAAGCUGAAGACUUUACCAGACAAGCUGAGAGGUGGUGCAUGGCCGUCGCCAGCUCGUGCCGUGAGAUGUCCUGUUAAGUCAGGUAACGAGCGAGAUCCCUGCCUCUAGUUGCCACCAUUACUCUCAGGAGUAGUGGGGCGAAUUAGCGGGACCGCCGCAGUUAAUGCGGAGGAAGGAAGGGGCCACGGCAGGUCAGUAUGCCCCGAAACUCUGGGGCCACACGCGGGCUGCAAUGGUAACGACAAUUGGUUUCAAAUCCGAAAGGAUGAGGUAAUCCUCAAACGUUACCACAGUUAUGACUGAGGGCUGCAACUCGCCCUCACGAAUAUGGAAUCCCUAGUAACUGCGUGUCAUUAUCGCGCGGUGAAUACGUCCCUGCUCCUUGCACACACCGCCCGUCGUUUCAUUGAAGUGAGCUUUUAGCGAGGUGACGUCUGAUUGGCGUUAUCGAACUUGAGGUUCGUGACAAGGGAAAAGUCGUAACAAGGUAACC
rnacentral:rRNA from 1 species